rnacentral:rRNA from 1 species
AGCAGUCGCCGCGGUAAUACAGAGGGUGCGAGCGUUAAUCGGAUUUACUGGGCGUAAAGCGUGCGUAGGCGGCUUUUUAAGUCGGAUGUGAAAUCCCUGAGCUUAACUUAGGAAUUGCAUUCGAUACUUGGAAGCUAGAGUAUGGGAGAGGAUGGUAGAAUUCCAGGUGUAGCGGUGAAAUGCGUAGAGAUCUGGAGGAAUACCGAUGGCGAAGGCAGCCAUCUGGCCUAAUACUGACGCUGAGGUACGAAAGCAUGGGGAGCAAACAGGAUUAGAUACCCCUGUAGUCCCUGUCUCUUAUAC